rnacentral:rRNA from 1 species
GACGUAGGGCGCGAGCGUUGUCCGGAUUUAUUGGGCGUAAAGAGCUCGUAGGCGGCUUGUCGCGUCGACCGUGAAAACCCGCGGCUUAACUGCGGGCUUGCGGUUGAUACGGGCGGGCUAGAGUUCGGUAGGGGAGACUGGAAUUCCUGGUGUAGCGGUGAAAUGCGCAGAUAUCAGGAGGAACACCGGUGGCGAAGGCGGAUCUCUGGGCCUUACCUGACGCUGAGGCGCGAAAGCUAGGGGAGCGAACAGG